rnacentral:rRNA from 1 species
UUAUGGCUCAGGAUGAACGCGGCGGGCGUGCUUAAUACAUGCAAGUCGAGCGAGAAGCCAGAGCUUGCUCUGGUGGACAGCGGCGAAUGGGUGCGUAACACGUAGGUGACCUGCCCUCAAGCAGGGGAUAACGGCUCGAAAGGGCCGCUAAUACCGUAUGUGGUUAGCGGGUCAAAGCGCUAACUAAACCUCCGGGGCUUGAGGAGGGGCCUGCGGCCCAUCAGCUAGUUGGUAGGGUAAUGGCCUACCAAGGCGACGACGGGUAGGGGGCCUGAGAGGGUGAUCCCCCACACUGGCACUGACACACGGGCCAGACUCCUACGGGAGGCAGCAGUAAGGAAUAUUGCGCAAUGGGCGAAAGCCUGACGCAGCAACGCCGCGUGAGCGAUGAAGGCCUUCGGGUCGUAAAGCUCUUUUCUCAGGGAAGAGGAAGGACGGUACCUGAGGAAUAAGUCACGGCUAACUACGUGCCAGCAGCCGCGGUAAAACGUAGGUGGCGAGCGUUAUCCGGAUUCACUGGGCGUAAAGCGCACGCAGGCGGCUUGGUAGGUAGGGCAUGAAAUCUCCUGGCUUAACUGGGAGAGGUUGUCCUAUACCACCGGGCUUGAGGAUGGGAGAGGGAAGUGGAACUGCCGGUGUAGUGGUGAAAUGCGUAGAGAUCGGCAAGAACACCAGUGGCGAAGGCGGCUUCCUGGCCCAUUCCUGACGCUCAGGUGCGAAAGCUAGGGGAGUGAACGGGAUUAGAAACCCCGGUAAUCCUAGCCGUAAACGAUGUACACUAGGUGUCGGGGGUAUUGACCCCCUCGGUGCCGUAGCUAACGCGUUAAGUGAACCGCCUGGGGACUACGGCCGCAAGGUUAAACUCA